GUAGCUGCAGGGUAACAUGUGGAUACCCUGUGUGCUCUACUGGCCUCCAAAGGCAUUCAGGGGAUCAUCAAAGAUGUUGGACACCUUGUGUUCAAAUCUUGGUUCAGGUGCGGCCUGUGCAGAUCGGCUUUUUGGUUUGGUUGUCUUAGCCUGGAUACCAGAGGAGAAGAUGUCAUCCAUAUCAUCAUCAAAUAUAGACUUGGCUUCCACUUUCUUUUUG
rnacentral:lncRNA from 1 species